UCUUUGGGCCUUUUUAAAAUUUCUUGUACGUGAAAGUGUUAAAUUGGUAGAGCUUCUCUGUCUAUUUGGUUAUUCCAAUACUAUAUACAUUCCCGCGUCAAUUUUGUUAAUAAUUCCAAACGAGUUUGUCAAGUGGCUUAUUAUCAUAUGUAGCUUCACUAUUUCAGGAACAAAGUUAUUUUCUAGUUUAAUCCCAUUGGUUACGAGAAUGCAAAAAAAAGCCUCCCUUCUUC